rnacentral:misc_RNA from 1 species
CAGAAACUCUUCAUCGCAUGAUGGAGCGAUAUCUUCUCCCUCCGGCCCCAUGCCGGUUGUGAUUCAUCGGAACAUUAUCAUCAUGUGGAUACUUCGGCAUCAUUCGGAUCGUCAUCAUUCGGAUCGUCAUCAUUACGGAAUUAUUACGGAACCAUUACGGAUACUACGGAAAACGGAAAAGAAAACGGAAAAGAAAACGGAAAAAUAUCACAGUUCAAUCACCCCAGCCCCAGAAAUACUACGGAAACAAGACGGUAAAGAGCUGCUGAGCAGCCGCUAGUGCAGAAGAUUUCGCAAUUGACUAAACAGCAAAGAGCCAUAAAAGCCUGCAGCCCCGUGAGCUACAGAGCCAAAGCGCCACCGACCGACCCCGCCUCGAGCUCGUGUCUCGACGCACCUUGAGAGAAGAUUGAGCCCGUGCCUCGUCUUCAGAGCCCGUGUCUCGCAAUAAUUCCAGUAUGAGCCCGUGUUCUCAUAUCGAGCCCGUGUUCUCGACUUUGGAUUCCUGUGAUGAGCCCGUGUUCUCAUAUUCGAGCCCGUGAUCUCGACUCUUUCCUAUGAGCCCGUGUUCUCAUGGCGAGCCCGUGUUCUCGCAUCGUCCCUAGUGAGCUCGUGUUCUCACUUCGAGCUCGUGUUCUCGAAUUUGUCCGCUAGAUGAGCUCGUGUUCUCAUCGCGAGCCCGUGUUCUCGCCUUCUACAGUAUGAGCCCGUGAUCUCAUAUCAAGCUCGUGUUCUUGACUUUGACGAGCUCGUGUCUCGUCUCGAGCCCGUGUUCUCGAAGUAUGGAGUGGACCGGACGGAAAGUUGAUGGAUUAAGUUGGAUACGCGCAGUGCAACCUGAUCCUUUGGAUCAUGGUGAAGAUGGAACCGCAACCGAGGCCGCCGAAAGAGCCAGAGCAAAAGUUAGUGCCGAUGACCCUUGGAGCAAGACCCGUGGAAAUUUCACAGAGGGAUUAUAAGAGCCGUUGCCUGUCGGAUUACAUAGUAUUUUGGAGGACGUAGGCUGGAACGCCGAACCUCCGGGGCUAAUACGAUUGGACUAUUCAGUCCCAUCCCCAU